rnacentral:rRNA from 1 species
GGGGAAUAUUGCACAAUGGGCGAAGGCCUGAUGCAGCAGCGCCGCGUGAGUGAUGAAGGCCUUCGGGUUGUAAAGCUCUGUCUUCUGGGACGAUAAUGACGGUACCAGAGGAGGAAGCCACGGCUAACUACGUGCCAGCAGCCGCGGUAAUACGUAGGUGGCAAGCGUUGUCCGGAUUUACUGGGCGUAAAGGAUGCGUAGGCGGAUACUUAAGUCAGAUGUGAAAAUCCCGGGCUUAACUUGGGAACUGCAUUUGAAACUGGGUAUCUAGAGUGUGGGAGAGGAAAGUGGAAUUCCUAGUGUAGCGGUGAAAUGCGUAGAGAUUAGGAAGAACACCAGUGGCGAAGGCGACUUUCUGGACCGUAACUGACGCUGAGGCAUGAAAGCGUGGGGAGCAAAC